rnacentral:rRNA from 1 species
CGGACGCUGGCGGCGUGCCUAAUACAUGCAAGUCGAGCGAGCUUGCCUAGAUGAAUUUGGUGCUUGCACCAAAUGAAACUAGAUACAAGCGAGCGGCGGACGGGUGAGUAACACGUGGGUAACCUGCCCAAGAGACUGGGAUAACACCUGGAAACAGAUGCUAAUACCGGAUAACAACACUAGACGCAUGUCUAGAGUUUAAAAGAUGGUUCUGCUAUCACUCUUGGAUGGACCUGCGGUGCAUUAGCUAGUUGGUAAGGUAACGGCUUACCAAGGCAAUGAUGCAUAGCCGAGUUGAGAGACUGAUCGGCCACAUUGGGACUGAGACACGGCCCCAA